rnacentral:rRNA from 1 species
GACGAACGCUGGCGGCGUGCCUAAUACAUGCAAGUAGAACGCUGAAGGAGGAGCUUGCUCUUCUGGAUGAGUUGCCCACGGGUGAGUAACGCCAAGGUAACCUGCCUGGUAGCGGGGGAUA